rnacentral:rRNA from 1 species
UACGGAGGGGGCUAGCGUUGUUCGGAAUUACUGGGCGUAAAGCGCACGUAGGCGGCUUUGUAAGUUAGAGGUGAAAGCCCGGGGCUCAACCCCGGAAUUGCCUUUGAGACUGCAUCGCUAGAACGUCGGAGAGGUAAGUGGAAUUCCGAGUGUAGAGGUGAAAUUCGUAGAUAUUCGGAAGAACACCAGUGGCGAAGGCGACUUACUGGACGACUGUUGACGCUGAGGUGCGAAAGCGUGGGGAGCAAACAGG